CCUACGGGUGGCAGCAGUGGGGGAUAUUGCACAAUGGGGGAAACACUGAUGCAGCGACGCCGCGUGUGGGAAGAAGGUCCUCUGGAUUGUAAACCACUGUCCCCAGGGACGAAGAUGACGGUACCUGGGGCGGAAGCUCCGGCUAACUACGUGCCAGCAGCCGCGGUAAUACGUAGGGAGCGAGCGUUGUCCGGAAUUACUGGGUGUAAAGGGAGCGUAGGCGGGACUGCAAGUUGGGUGUCAAAUCUACCGGCUCAACCGGUAGCCGCACUCAAAACUGCAGUUCUUGAGUGAAGUAGAGGCAGGCGGAAUGCGUAGUGUAGCGGUGAAAUGCGUAGAUAUUAGGAGGAACACCAGUGGCGAAGGCGGCCUGCUGGGCUUUUACUGACGCUGAGGCUCGAAAGUGUGGGGAGCAAACAGGAUUAGAUACCCGGGUAGUC
rnacentral:rRNA from 1 species